UUUUUGAUAAUAAUUUAAAGUNUAAUNUGCCCACUGAUAAUUAUUAAAGGGCUGCAGUAUUUUGACUGUACAAAGGUAGCAUAAUCAAUAGUCUUUUAAUUGAAGACUAGUAUGAAAGAUUGAAUGAAAUAUAAACUGUCUUUUUAAUAAAAUUAAAAAUUAAUUUUUUAGUCAAAAAGCUAAAAUGAAUUUAAAAGACGAGAAGACCCUAUAGAGUUUUAUAAUUAAAUUUAUUUUUUUAAAAUAUAAAUAAUUUAAAAAAAAAUAUAUUUAAUUAUUUUGUUGGGGUGAUAAAAAAAUUAAAUAAACUUUUUUUAAAAUUUAACAAAAAUAAUUGAAUAAGUGAUCCAUUAAUUAUGAUUAAAAGAAUAAAUUACCUUAGGGAUAACAGCGUAAUAUUUUUUUUUAGUACAAAUAAAAAAAAAAGUUUGCGACCUCGAUGUUGGAUUAAGAUAAAAAUUAAAUGCAAAAGUUUAAAAUUUUGAUCUGUUCGAUCAUUAAAAUCUUAC
rnacentral:rRNA from 1 species